AAAAAAUUAAAAAAAUUAAAAAAGAAAAGGGUAGAACUACUUUUGAUUAAUUAGAGAAGGCAAGCAUCUUAGAUUAUCACUGUUCACUGGUCUGACUUCUUCCAACCUCAAAGAUGAUCUACUAUUAAAUUGAUGAUUCUCUUCAGUGUCAACUCCAGGGUGACAUGCAGACCAUUUUGAUCUGAAGAAAACCUAGAAAGAUAGUUGACUACAGACCCGAUGAGUGGCGACCUUGACAAAGUCAUGCCAAGAUACAUAAUCCAAUACUUCAUAGGAUCUUACAUGCCGGUGUGUGACCGGUGUUGAGGCCACAUCAAAUAAUGUGAUACAUCCAGAGGCCGGCCGGCAAGAAAGAGAAACAUAUAUUGUAAUAUCCCACAUCGGCCAAACGGAGAGGGGUUAUGUGCUGUAUAUGUACAUGCCCACCUCCAAUCUAACACGAGGUCUUUUGGUGGCUCAGCGGCUUCGGAGGGGAUGGGUACUCCGAAGUUAAGCAUGUUGAUGCUAGAGCAAUCCCAGGAUGGGUGACCUACUGGGAAGUUGCUCCUGAGCUGCCGGAAACAAAACCGUGAGGGCCGGUGGGCCCAAAGCAGACAAUAUCGUGUUACGGCGGAAUGGGUCCCGGGGUGUGACAAAUGGUAUCAGAGCCACUCUGCCGUGUGGUGCGAGUGUGCCGACGAGGGCGUCGGACUCCCAAGGGGGGUGGAUUGUAAUAUCCCACAUCGGUCAAACGGAGAGGGGUUAUGUGCUGUAUAUGUACAUGCCCACCUCCAAUCUAACACGAGGCUUUUUGGUGGCUCAGCGGCUUCGGAGGGGAUGGGUACUCCGAAGUUAAGCAUGUUGAUGCUAGAGCAAUCCCAGGAUGGGUAACCUACAGGGAAGUUGCUCCUGAGCUGCCGGAAACAAAACCGUGAGGGCCGGUGGGCCCAAAGCGGACAAUAUCGUGUUACGGCGGAAUGGGUCCUAGGGUGUUACAAAUGGUAUCAGAGCCACUCUGCCGUGUGGUGCGAGUGUGCCGACGAGGGCGUCGGACUCCCAAGGGGGGUGGAUUGUAAUAUCCCACAUCGGUCAAACGGAGAGGGGUUAUGUGCUGUAUAUGUACAUGCCCACCUCCAAUCUAACACGAGGCCUUUUGGUGGCUCAGCGGCUUCGGAGGGGAUGGGUACUCCGAGGUUAAGCAUGUCGAUGCGAGAGCAAUCCCAGGAUGGGUGACCUAUUGGGAAGUUGCUCCUGAGCUGCCGGAAACAAAACCGUGAGGGCCGGGGGCCCAAAGCGGACAAUAUCGUGUUACGGCGGAGCGGGUCCCGGGGUGUGACA
rnacentral:lncRNA from 1 species